rnacentral:rRNA from 1 species
AGUGAACGCUGGCGGUAGGCCUAACACAUGCAAGUCGAACGGCAGCACAGUAAGAGCUUGCUCUUACGGGUGGCGAGUGGCGGACGGGUGAGGAAUACAUCGGAAUCUACUUUUUCGUGGGGGAUAACGUAGGGAAACUUACGCUAAUUCCGCAUACGACCUACGGGUGAAAGCAGGGGAUCUUCGGACCUUGCGCGAUUGAAUGAGCCGAUGUCGGAUUAGCUAGUUGGCGGGGUAAAGGCCCACCAAGGCGACGAUCCGUAGCUGGUCUGAGAGGAUGAUCAGCCACACUGGAACUGAGACACGGUCCAGACUCCUACGGGAGGCAGCAGUGGGGAAUAUUGGACAAUGGGCGCAAGCCUGAUCCAGCCAUACCGCGUGGGUGAAGAAGGCCUUCGGGUUGUAAAGCCCUUUUGUUGGGAAAGAAAAGCAGCAGGUUAAUACCCCGCUGUUCUGACGGUACCCAAAGUAUAAGCACCGGCUAACUUCGUG